rnacentral:rRNA from 1 species
AUUGAACGCUGGCGGCAGGCCUAACACAUGCAAGUCGAGCGGAUGAAGGGAGCUUGCUCCUGGAUUCAGCGGCGGACGGGUGAGUAAUGCCUAGGAAUCUGCCUGGUAGUGGGGGAUAACGUCCGGAAACGGGCGCUAAUACCGCAUACGUCCUGAGGGAGAAAGUGGGGGAUCUUCGGACCUCACGCUAUCAGAUGAGCCUAGGUCGGAUUAGCUAGUUGGUGGGGUAAAGGCCUACCAAGGCGACGAUCCGUAACUGGUCUGAGAGGAUGAUCAGUCAACCGGGAACGGAGACACGGUCCAGACUCCUACGGGAGGCAGCAGUGGGAAUAUUGGACAAUGGGCGAAAGCCUGAUCCAGCCAUGCCGCGUGUGUGAAGAAGGUCUUCGGAUUGUAAAGCACUUUAAGUUGGGAGGAAGGGCAGUAAGUUAAUACCUUGCUGUUUUGACGUUACCAACAGAAUAAGCACCGGCUAACUUCGUG